rnacentral:rRNA from 1 species
AUUGAACGCUGGCGGAAUGCUUUACACAUGCAAGUCGAACGGCAGCACGGGGCAACCUGGUGGCGAGUGGCGAACGGGUGAGUAAUACAUCGGAACGUGCCCAAUCGUGGGGGAUAACGUAGCGAAGUUACGCUAAUACCGCAUACGAUCUACGGAUGAAAGCGGGGGAUCGCAAGACCUCGCGCGAAUGGAGCGGCCGAUGUCAGAUUAGGUAGUUGGUGGGGUAAAGGCUCACCAAGCCAACGAUCUGUAGCUGGUCUGAGAGGACGACCAGCACACUGGAACUGAGACACGGUCCAGACUCCUACGGAGGCAGCAGUGGGGAAUUUUGGGACAAUGGCGCAAGCCUGAUCCAGCCAUUCCGCGUGCAGGAUG